UAUUGGUCAAUGGACGCAAGUCUGAACCAGCCAUGCCGCGUGCAGGAUGAAGCAUCUAUGGUGUGUAAACUGCUUUUGUACGGGAAGAAACCCUCCUACGUGUAGGAGCUUGACGGUACCGUAAGAAUAAGGAUCGGCUAACUCCGUGCCAGCAGCCGCGGUAAUACGGAGGAUCCAAGCGUUAUCCGGAAUCAUUGGGUUUAAAGGGUCCGUAGGCGGCCUUAUAAGUCAGCGGUGAAAGUUUUUGGCUUAACCAAAAAAUUGCCGUUGAUACUGUGAGGCUUGAAUAUUUGUGAAGUAACUAGAAUAUGUAGUGUAGCGGUGAAAUGCUUAGAUAUUACAUGGAAUACCAAUUGCGAAGGCAGGUUACUAACAAAUUAUUGACGCUGAUGGACGAAAGCGUGGGUAGC
rnacentral:rRNA from 1 species